rnacentral:misc_RNA from 1 species
UCCGGCUUGUCACCGGCAGUUUCCCUAAAGUGCCCAGCUUAACCUGAUGGCAAUUAAGGAUGAGGGUUGCGCUCGUUGCGGGACUUAACCCAACAUCUCACGACACGAGCUGACGACAGCCAUGCAACACCUGUGUGGGAGCCAGCCAAACUGAAGAAUUCCGUUUCUGGAAUCCAUACUCCCCAUGUCAAGGCCUGGUAAGGUUCUUCGCGUUGCCUCGAAUUGAACCACAUGCUCCACCGCUUGUGCGGGUCCCCGUCAAUUCCUUUGAGUUUUAAUCUUGCGACCGUACUCCCCAGGCGGAAUGCUUAAUGCGUUAGCGACGCCACUGAUCCGUAAGGACCAACAGCUAGCAUUCAUCGUUUAGGGCGUGGACUAC